rnacentral:lncRNA from 1 species
GUUAAUUUUUUUUAAUAUUGGUUAGUUUUUAAAUAUUAGUUAGUUUAGAUAUUAGUUAGUUUAAAAAUAAUUAUUAGUUAGUUUUUUUUAUAAUUUAUUAUAAAUAAUAUGUAUAUAUAUAUAUAUAUUUAGGUCCAUUGGAUCCUUUUUACUUUACUUACAUAAAAAACAAAAAAAAAGAAAUAAUAAAAAAGGAGGAAUCCAAGGAAAACACUCCCAACGGUCUGCCAGACACCUCACCCCACUAAAUUCCCACUCACAUUCCACUCUUCCACUCUCAUUCCUC